GCAUGAUAUUUUUAUUAAAGAAUUUCGGUUAUCGAUGGGGAUGCGUUCCAUUAGUUUGUUGGCGGGGUAACGGCCCACCAAGACUACGAUGGAUAGGGGUUCUGAGAGGAAGGUCCCCCACAUUGGAACUGAGACACGGUCCAAACUCCUACGGGAGGCAGCAGUGAGGAAUAUUGGUCAAUGGGCGCGAGCCUGAACCAGCCAAGUAGCGUGAAGGAUGAAGGCUCUAUGGGUCGUAAACUUCUUUUAUAUGGGAAUAAAGUUUUCCACGUGUGGAAUUUUGUAUGUACCAUAUGAAUAAGGAUCGGCUAACUCCGUGCCAGCAGCCGCGGUAAUACGGAGGAUCCGAGCGUUAUCCGGAUUUAUUGGGUUUAAAGGGAGCGUAGGUGGAUUGUUAAGUCAGUUGUGAAAGUUUGCGGCUCAACCGUAAAAUUGCAGUUGAAACUGGCAGUCUUGAGUACAGUAGAGGUGGGCGGAAUUCGUGGUGUAGCGGUGAAAUGCUUAGAUAUCACGAAGAACUCCGAUUGCGAAGGCAGCUCACUAGACUGUUACUGACACUGAUGCUCGAAAGUGUGGGUAUCAAACAGGAUUAGAUACCCUGGUAGUCCACACAGUAAACGAUGAAUACUCGCUGUUUGCGAUAUACAGUAAGCGGCC
rnacentral:rRNA from 1 species